AUUGAACGCUGGCGGCAUGCCUUACACAUGCAAGUCGAACGGUAACGCGGGGCAACCUGGCGACGAGUGGCGAACGGGUGAGUAAUACAUCGGAACGUGCCCAGUAGUGGGGGAUAGCCCGGCGAAAGCCGGAUUAAUACCGCAUACGACCUACGGGUGAAAGCAGGGGAUCGCAAGACCUUGCGCUAUUGGAGCGGCCGAUGUCAGAUUAGGUUGUUGGUGGGGGUAAAAAGCCUACCAAGCCGACGAUCUGUAGCUGGUCUGAGAGGACGACCAGCCACACUGGGACUGAGACACGGCCCAGACUCCUACGGGAGGCAGCAGUGGGGAAUUUUGGACAAUGGGGGCAACCCUGAUCCAGCCAUGCCGCGUGAGUGAAGAAGGCCUCGGUUGUAAGCUCUUCGGUCCGGGAAGGAAAUACGCACUGGGCGUAAUAACCCUCGUGUCGGAGUGACGGUACCGGC
rnacentral:rRNA from 1 species